UUUUGCCUACGGGGCGCAGCAGUGAGGAAUAUUGGUCAAUGGGCGCGAGCCUGAACUAGCCAAGUCGCGUGAGGGAAGACGGUCCUAUGGAUUGUAAACCUCUUUUGUCGGGGAGCAAAAGACGCCACGCGUGGCGUUCCGAGAGUACCCGAAGAAAAAGCAUCGGCUAACUCCGUGCCAGCAGCCGCGGUAAUACGGAGGAUGCGAGCGUUAUCCGGAUUUAUUGGGUUUAAAGGGUGCGCAGGCGGAAGAUCAAGUCAGCGGUAAAAUUGAAAGGCUCAACCUCUUCG
rnacentral:rRNA from 1 species